rnacentral:rRNA from 1 species
UCCGUGGCGGCGUGCUAUACAUGCAAGUCGAGCGGACAGAUGGGAGCUUGCUCCCUGAUGUUAGCGGCGGACGGGUGAGUAACACGUGGGUAACCUGCCUGUAAGACUGGGAUAACUCCGGGAAACCGGGGCUAAUACCGGAUGCUUGUUUGAACCGCAUGGUUCAAACAUAAAAGGUGGCUUCGGCUACCACUUACAGAUGGACCCGCGGCGCAUUAGCUAGUUGGUGAGGUAACGGCUCACCAAGGCAACGAUGCGUAGCCGACCUGAGAGGGUGAUCGGCCACACUGGGACUGAGACACGGCCCAGACUCCUACGGGAGGCAGCAGUAGGGAAUCUUCCGCAAUGGACGAAAGUCUGACGGAGCAACGCCGCGUGAGUGAUGAAGGUUUUCGGAUCGUAAAGCUCUGUUGUUAGGGAAGAACAAGUACCGUUCGAAUAGGGCGGUACCUUGACGGUACCUAACCAGAAAGCCACGGCUAACUACGUGCCAGCAGCCGCGGUAAUACGUAGGUGGCAAGCGUUGUCCGGAAUUAUUGGGCGUAAAGGGCUCGCAGGCGGUUUCUUAAGUCUGAUGUGAAAGCCCCCGGCUCAACCGGGGAGGGUCAUUGGAAACUGGGGAACUUGAGUGCAGAAGAGGAGAGUGGAAUUCCACGUGUAGCGGUGAAAUGCGUAGAGAUGUGGAGGAACACCAGUGGCGAAAGCGACUCUCUGGUCUGUAACUGACGCUGAGGAGCGAAAGCGUGGGGAGCGAACAGGAUUAGAUACCCUGGUAGUCCACGCCGUAAACGAUGAGUGCUAAGUGUUAGGGGGUUUCCGCCCCUUUAGUGCUGCAGCUAACGCAUUAAGCACUCCGCCUGGGGAGUACGGUCGCAAGACUGAAACUCAAAGGAAUGACGGGGGCCCGCCACAAGCGUGGAGCAUGGUGGUUUAAUUCGAAAGCAACGCGAGAAGCUUACCAGUCGUUGGACAUCCUCUGACAAUCCUAGAGGAUAGUACGUUCCCCGUCGGGGCCAGAGUGACCAGGUGGUGCAUGAUGGUCGUCAGCUUCUGGUCAUGAAAUGUUUGGAUCAGGUCCGCCACGAGCGCAGCUUGGAACUUAUUGCAGCAUCAGUGGCACCUUCUAAAG